UACGUAGGGGGGCGAGCGUUGUCCGGAUUUAUUGGGCGUAAAAGGCUUGUAGGUGGCCACGCGAAGUCGGAUGUGAAAUCUCCCGGCUCAACUGGGAGGGGUCAUUCGAUACUGGCGGGCUCGAGGCCGGUAGGGGAAGCGGAAUUCCCGGUGUAGUGGUGGAAUGCGUAGAUAUCGGGAGGAACACCAGUGGCGAAGGCG
rnacentral:rRNA from 1 species